CGUUGUUUAAUAAAAUUUAUUCAAUCAAUAACCUCUAAUGAUAAAUUGCAAUAUGGAUUAUUAGAAACUUAAUUCCACAGGCUGCCCUACUCAUCACUGAGAAAGAAAUGGGAGAUGUAAAAUUCUGUAAGAGCAAAUAGAGUCACCUCCUUCAACAAUGAGGCAAAAAGCAUAACAAACACUCUCCAUAGAAUUUGGGAAUUGGGACCACUACUCCUAACUUUUUUUUUUGGGCUACAAUUAUAUCCAGGCAUGAAAGUUAUCACAAAAACAUUAUAUUGUCAGGAAUUUUUCAAUGAGUCUACUAGAGUCGGUUCUGCCUUCAACUUUAACAUGGUGUACAAGUCCAAAUUACAAAGAUUCAAGUCAAAAACAGGGUUAGGAGUAAUAUCUGAAUCGUGGUUUUUUGUGGCCCUCAUGUAUUAUAAAGCAAUAUUUGAGCAAUAAAGGAGCUUACAACGGAUGCCAGUGAUCGUCUUUCAGGAUUUUUGGUAACUGCACCUUCAGUUUGUAUUAUGGCUUCCUUCCCAGAUA
rnacentral:misc_RNA from 1 species